rnacentral:lncRNA from 1 species
GGAGAAAGAAAGGAAAGAAGAAAGAAAAGGGGAAAUAAGGUUUAUGAAGCUUGGAGUUAAUUGGUAAGCUCAAUCAAGUCCUUUUCUCAUAAUUUUGAUAUUUUAGAAGUCUUAAAACAAGUUUUUGAUGAAUUUAAGUUUUUAGUUUGGAAGUUCUUAGGUUUUUAAACAAAGUUCAUGUUGAAUAAAAUGAUGAAAUAGGGGUUUAAUUGAACGAAAUUCAAGUUAGAAUAGAUAUAAGGAUUGAAUUGCAAAGUAAGCUAUAAGUUUUGUGUUUUAGGGACUAGAUUGAGGAAAAUUCGGAAUUAAGAAAAUAUGUUGAAAAUUUAAUAGUUAAGUUUGAGUUUAAAUGAAAUUUGAAUAGGAAUAAGGUGUGAAUUGGUGUUAUAAAUUUGGUUAUUAACAUUUUUCAUCAAAACAGUUUUGGGAAGUAGCAAUGGUCUGACUUCGAAAAUUCACUAAAAAUUUUAUAAAUUGAACUAGAGGAUGAACAAAAUAUGAAAUUAAAGCUUAUUGAGUCUAGUUUCUUAUAGUAGAAACAGUGUAAGCAAUUAAUUGAUGAAUCAAGAGAUAUUUGAAAUUUUGUAAUACUGGUUCGGGGUGAUUUCGAGAUGCCCUGUUUUAACUUUGGAAAAUCACUAAAAAUUGUACAAAAAUUAUUAUGGAGUGUAAUUUAUAUAUGUGAACUCAUUAAUGAAUCUAGUUUCAAAAUAAAUAAACAAGAACCUUAUUUGAGUUCUGUACAAUGAGAUAAUUUAGUUUUAGUAGAGAGAGGUUAGAACUGUCAAAUGAAAUAACAGGAGAGUAUUUAACGAAUAAACUGUAUUAAAUGGCUAGACCAAAAAUUCUGGAAAUUUUAUGAUUAGAAUAUAUAUGAGUCUAGUUUUAAGAAAAAUUUACGGAUAUUAAUUUGGAGUUUCGUAGCUCAAGAUAUAAAUAAUUUAGUAACAAUGACUCAAGUAGACAGCUUAAUGGUGAAAUUAUAUAUACAUUAAAAAUGGUUAAAUUUGCAUGUUUAGGCUCAUGAAUUAAAUUGAAUCAUGUUGUAUUGAUGAUUAUAAAUUAUUAUUUUCGUAGCCAACAAAGAACCUGAAGCAUCAGCAUCGAAAGGAAAGGAGAAAGUCAUCGAGUACUAAAACGGGAGAAUUACGGUGUGUAUUACUAUAAUUCGAAUUUUAAUUAUUAUUGAUUGCUGAAUUUUUUUUAUUGUUAUGUAUGGUAAGUAAGACUUGAGGUAAGUAUGUGAAAUUGAUAUGAAUAUUGAGUGAAAAUGAAAGUGAUGCAAAUUGAAUUAAAUUGAAUUGAAUAAGUGAAUUAUGGAAGAUGUAAUUAUUUGAAAAGCGUAUUGAUUGAAAAAUGAUUGGUGAUUUGAAUUGUGAAUUGAAAGUGAUAUAGGAUUGAGAAAGUGAAUUGAAUACCCUAUUAACUAGUCGGGCUGAGUAGGAUAUAGUUGGCAUGCCAUAGGAUUGGAAGUGUUCAGGGAUACUUCGACCUCGAGUCGAUGAGACACUGGGUGUCACUAUAUUUCUUCGGAUAGAUUCGAUGAGGUACUGGGUACCAACUUUACUUCGGCUAGGCCGAUGAGACACUAGGUGUCAACUAUUACUUUGAACUAUCCGAUGAGGCACUGGGUGCCAUAUUGGUGUGUUUGGUUGGAUCCGUGUAUCCGCCAAAGUCCGAGUUACGUUAAUAGGGUGAAAAAUUGAAAUGUGAAUUUGAGGCAUUGAAACGAGAAAAAUAAAUUGAAUUACGAAUUGAAAUUGGAAUUGUGAUAAUAAGAGAAAAGUAUGAAAUGUAUAUUCAUAAGUGAUAUAAAUUUAAGUUUGAGAAAAUACAUUGAUUUAUGAAUUAGUACAUAUGACAUUAAUUGUUAGGUAUUUUAAUAUUUAUGUUUUUACUAUUGUUGAUAUAAUUUGAAUUAUGGUAAUAUCACUGAGUAUAUCCAUACUCAGCGUACGGUUGUUUCCGUGCGCAGGUUAGUAGAAGUCAAGUGUCUCGGUUCAGCAUCCAGAACAUUCCCGACUCCAACACAAAUUUGGUGAUGUAUAUUUUUCUUUUGGGUAAAGGUGGCAUGUACAUAGGUGUUAUAUAGUCACUUGAAUAUGCAUAUUACUUUGGGUAGUGAAGGUUGAAUUAUAAGAUUUAGAUGGUUAAAUGAAAUGGUAAGAAAAGUAUAUGAUAUUUUGAUACAUGAACAUUAAG